rnacentral:rRNA from 1 species
GGACAACCUACCCAUUGCCCUGGACAAGGACAACCCCGGGAAACUGGGAUUAAUCCUUGAUAGGUCAUCUCAUCUGGAAGGAGAGAUGGCUUAAAGGGGUACGCGGGCUUCUUCCGCGAAUUCGCUCCAGGAUGGGACUGCGUCCGAUCAGGCUGUUGGCGGGGUAAUGGCCCACCAAACCUGUAACCGGUACGGGCCUUGAGAGAGGUGGCCCGGAGAUGGACACUGAGAGAAGGGUCCAGGUCCUACGGGGCGCAGCAGGCGCGAAACCUUCGCAAUGCGCGAAAGCGUGACGAGGUUAAUCCGAGUGACUUCCGCUGAGGAGGUCUUUUGUCAGCUGUAAAUAGGCAGGCGAAUAAGGGGAGGGCAAGCCUGGUGUCAGCCGCCGCGGUAAUACCAGCUCCUCGAGUGGUCGGGGCGAUUAUUGGGCCUAAAGCAUCCGUAGCCGGUUCCGUAGGUCCUCUGUUAAAUCCAACCGCUUAACGGUUGACCUGCAGAGGAUACCGCGGGACUAGGAGGCGGGAGAGGCGGACGGUACUCCGCGUGUAGGGGUAAAAUCCUUUGAUCCGCGGAAGACCACCAGUGGCGAAGGCGGUCCGCCAGAACGCGCUCGACGGUGAGGGAUGAAAGCUGGGGGAGCGAACCGGAUUAGAUACCCGGGUAGUCCCAGCCGUAAACGAUGCUAGCUAGAUGAUUCAUUCGCAAGUCGCGAAUGAAGUGUCGCAGGGAAGCCG